CCCGCUCUUUUCCUCGCGACUUCUUUAUAUGCCCUUUUCUUUGUCGCUCCGACCCCUCUACCAGUGAGGCGGAGCUCGAACUACCUCCUUCACCAUAAAUGUGCUACUGCUUCGGCCUUGCUGAAAUCAAUGCUCUCUGUUGAUCAUUGCCGAUGUGGUUGGCUUUCAGAAGGGUUUGCCACACCACUAUAACAUGGCCAGUGGAGCCUGAUGAGAUGGCAGCGGAUGCGUUCCGUGUCUUUCUCCUGGAAUCUACAUGUGCAUUGAAACAAUCCAUUGAGAUGGGAGACCGAAAGAAGGAGUUCUCUGCAAGAAGAUUUCACCACCAAUCUUUACUAUUUGACUCUAUUAAAAAAGAAACUGCUGAUAACAAGCAAGUUGUUGACAGUAUGCAUCGGCUUGUGAGCGAACAAGAGCAAUCAGGCAUGUGGCUUUCUGUCUCGAAGGUGGAUACACUCAGCUACUGUAUUGAAAAGGAAGGCGGAUGAUGUUUUGUUAUUUGAAAAAGACUUUAAAGAGAAGAUAAGAAUUUGUAGAGAAUAAAAUCAAGAACAACCAAGAUGAGCUCAAGAGAAAGGAUCAAACCACAUUGGAGAUGAAAAAAAGAUAGAGGAAUUGACAACAAUAGAUGGUCUUCAACCAUAAGUAGAAGCUAUAUCCAUCUCAUACUUGUCUUUAUGUGAAGUAUCUGUCAAAAGUGAUUUGAGUAUCAGUCUACAGUCAGAUGUUUUAUCUUGACCAAGAUUACCUUCAGAAGGACACAUCUGUAUAGGAAGAAACUAUCCAAAGUUUGGUUACUGAGAAACAGGCCUUGCUUUUGGAGAUACAGAACUUGGGAUUGGUCUUGAAAAAAGAUUCAGGAGAGUGGUUGGGGCAAAAUUUACGGUGGUCACUUGUCAGGUUAGACGAAAAGAUUCAAGAGGAUGAUGCAAGUUUGGUAUACAAGCAUCUUGAACAAGAUAUGCGUCUUGAGUACUGCAUGGAACAAAAUCCUGGACAUGGCCAACAUAUCUCCACUGCUGCGGUCACCUCUAAGGAAAGCAACAACCUCUAUGGUUUUCACAAAUGCAAUACACUGUGAUUGUUAACCCACAUGAACAUGCCAUAUAUUUGGGAUUACCAUUACAUUGAUUGUUUCCAUACAAUCCGGUUGGUUGAUUCUUUCACCCAAGUGAUGUCCUCAAAUCCUUUAUUACAAACUGAUGGAACCAAUGUCUCAGUUGAUGGAAAGGUGGUACGAGCAAUCAAGCUUUGAGUUGGUGUCCAUAAUUACUUACAUUUUUCUGGUUUGGUAGUGUAUUAAUGCUUAUACCCUUGCUCCUAUUGACGGGUAUUAUUCAUGCAAUAAUUUUAUGAUUUUACAGGGCGACUGUGUUUCUUUUGUGCAAGAGCUUGACACAGAGAGUUCAAUUACACAAACAGAAACGUGAAGUAGAGAGAUUAGUUAUUUGUCAAGUUGGGAUGUGCAAUUUCUAUCAACUGCAAAUCGAUGCUCGGAGUUAAAGUGGACUUUCUUUCAAAGGGUUGUGUUCCAGUCUAUUAUGUAUACUUUGUAUAUAAUUCCCGUUAGAAUUGCAACAAGUUCAAUGAGAAACAGCAAAACACGUCAUGCCAUCCAGGAAUAGUUGUGCCUCGGGCUACAUGUAACCUACAUCGUCUUUGCUCAAGAAUUGUUGAUCUCUACUGAUUUCAAUGCGGUCAUCCACGGUUCCGGUCUGUACUCUCUCUAUACGUUAUACGAGUCGUUCAUGGUGAUAUGUAAUUUUUUUUUUUCUUCUAUUCACAACUUUGACUUGUAGCAUUGCUAUAAGCGAUUCUGGACAGGUGCAUCCCCAUGAGUGACUCGGAACUUUGAUAUUGUUAUGGGCGAUGCUAUGUAAUGCAACUUCGUUAGCAA